rnacentral:tRNA from 2 species
GUCAUUGAUUUAGUCAAUUUACAUCACUCAUAAUGAUGGGGUCCCUAGUUCGAAUCUAGGUGUAGCCACCA